rnacentral:rRNA from 1 species
UACGGGGGGGGCAAGCGUUGUUCGGAAUUACUGGGCGUAAAGGGCGCGUAGGCGGCCUUCUAAGUCGGACGUGAAAUCCCUCGGCUUAACCGGGGAACUGCGUCUGAUACUGGAUGGCUUGAGUUUGGGAGAGGGAUGCGGAAUUCCAGGUGUAGCGGUGAAAUGCGUAGAUAUCGGGAGGAACACCAGUGGCGAAGGCGGCUUCCUGGCGGGUUCUUGACGCUGAGGCGCGAAAGCUAGGGGAGCAAACGGG